ACUUUGCUGACGAGUGCCAUAUAGUACGAAACCCGGGUUCAGGGU
rfam:Schistosoma rodhaini strain Burundi genome assembly, scaffold: SROB_scaffold0001047